rnacentral:rRNA from 1 species
AAUGAACGCUGGCGGCAGGCCUAACACAUGCAAGUCGAGCGGAGCGGCGGACGGGUGAGUAAUGCCUAGGAAGCUGCCUGGUAGUGGGGGAUAACGUCCGGAAACGGGCGCUAAUACCGCAUACAAUCAGUUGAGCCUAGGUCGGAUUAGCUUGUUGGUGGGGUAAAUGCCUAACAAGGCGACGAUCCGUACCUGGUCUGAGAGGAUGAUCAGUCGCACUGGAACUGAGACACGGUCAAUGCUCCUACGGGAGGCAGCAGGCGGGAACAUUGGACAAGAGUCGAAAGCCUGAUCCAGCCAUGCCGCGUGUGAGACGGAGGUCUUCGGAUUGUAAAGCCCGUUAAGUUGGGAGGCGUUACCAGCAGAAUAAGCACCGGCUAACUUCGUGCCAGCAGCCGCGGUAAUAC